rnacentral:rRNA from 1 species
CCUACGGGAGGCAGCAGUGGGGAAUUUUGGACAAUGGGCGCAAGCCUGAUCCAGCAAUGCCGCGUGAGUGAAGAAGGCCUUCGGGUUGUAAAGCUCUUUUGUCAGGGAAGAAACGGUGGGAGCUAAUAUCUCCUACUAAUGACGGUACCUGAAGAAUAAGCACCGGCUAACUACGUGCCAGCAGCCGCGGUAAUACGUAGGGUGCAAGCGUUAAUCGGAAUUACUGGGCGUAAAGCGUGCGCAGGCGGUUUUGUAAGUCUGUCGUGAAAGCCCCGGGCUCAACCUGGGAAUUGCGAUGGAGACUGCAAGGCUUGAAUCUGGCAGAGGGGGGUAGAAUUCCACGUGUAGCAGUGAAAUGCGUAGAGAUGUGGAGGAACACCGAUGGCGAAGGCAGCCCCCUGGGUCAAGAUUGACGCUCAUGCACGAAAGCGUGGGGAGCAAACAGGAUUAGAUACCCUGGUAGUCCACGCCCUAAACGAUGUCUACUAGUUGUCGGGUUUUAAUUAACUUGGUAACGCAGCUAACGCGUGAAGUAGACCGCCUGGGGAGUACGGUCGCAAGNUUAAAACUCAAAUGAAUUGACCGGNUGAGAGNGCGAGACGACGACGAGGGAGGAGG